UUGGAAGAAGGACCUUCGGGUUGUAAAGUACUUUCAGCAGUGAGGAAGGUGGGUAUGUUAAUAGCAUAUUCAUUUGACGUUAGACUGCAGAAGUAAGCACCGGCUAACUCCGUGCCAGCAGCCGCGGUAAUACGGAGGGUGCGAGCGUUAAUCGGAAUUACUGGGCGUAAAGCGCAUGCAGGUGGUUUGUUAAGUCAGGAUGUGAAAGCCCGGGGCUCAAACCUCGGAAUUGCAUUUGAAACUGGCAAACUAGAGUACUGUAGAGGGGGGUAGAAUUUCAGGUGUAGCGGUGAAAUGCGUAGAGAUCUGAAGGAAUACCGGUGGCGAAGGCGGCCCCCUGGACAGAUACUGACACUCAGAUGCGAAAAGCGUGGGGAGCAAACAGGAUUAGAUACCCUGGUAG
rnacentral:rRNA from 1 species